AAAGCUUAAAAUUAGAAUAUUUGGCUUUUUUUUAAAAAUGUUUUGUCAGUUUAGCAAUUGAAUUAUAUUCUGAUCUACCAUUUAUUUUCUUUAGAAAUAUUUAUAUAUGGGUGCCCUGGGUUUUCGUUCAGUGGUAAGGAAGUACAACGCAUGAUGUGUGAGUCCGGCGCAUGUCACGAGUUCGAACCCUGUCGCUAAGGAGCCCAGGUACUUAAGUGGCAGCAAGGUAGAGGGGCGAGCCCAUGUUCCUUCAAGUGAUCAAAAUAAUAUUUAUUUAUGUGCUUUAAGGUAAACAGUGAAAAUGGUUAUCAUGGGAAAAGGUUGUCAACUUGAUGUUAAUCCAGAUAUAGCUUGGAAUAUCAAGAAAAUAGUUCUCAAAUAUAGCAUUUGCUCUUCCUCUGCAACAACAACAACAACAAUCCAGUGUAAUCCCUCUGCACCGCACGUAAUGAGUGUAUAUCUGCAUAAAAAAGGUGGCAAUUCCGGUGGUUCCAACAAUUAGAGUUUUGGUUACUUUCACUAAGUUUGAAGAAUUACAGCCACUGGACGAGUUCUUAACUCCUCCUUCGAGUCCUACUCCUUCAGGCAAAGAGAGUCCACCCGAGGUGCAGCCCUCAAGUUCAUCUUGGUUUCAGUGGAUAAAAGCCCCUUAUCAACGGCCUAGUUCGUCUACUGGCAGUUCAAGUAGUUUGACAAACGACGUUCAAGUUCCAUUUGCAAUCCCUCGAGAUUACACAUGGAUCACAGCAGAAGCUAAGAAAAAGAAAAUGCAGGAAAAGGAGAAGGCAAGAAAAGGGAAGAGUAGGAAACAGUAGGCGAAGAAGUCGGCUAGCUAAGUGGAUUUUUUUUCUUAAAGCAGAUCAUGGACUACCAAAGGAGAUAGUUGCUUUCUUAAUUGACUGAUCUUAUUGGGGGGGCUAUGUUUAUAAUAUCUUGGCAAUUUAGUAAAUCAUUGUGGGGUAUAAGGUAGGCGUAAGGUCUGCAUACAACUACCUUCUCCAGACCCCACAUGUGGGGUUAUACUGGGUUGUUUGUUGUUGUUGUUGUUGUUAUAUUGUGGGGGGUAUAAAAGCUCAAAAUAUAAGAUUUUUUCAAAUGUUUGUAAUUAAAAUGCAGCAAUUGGUUUGA